UUUAUUUCUUGGGGGUGAGACUGGAAAAGGGGAGAUAUGUUUCAUUUUAAGCCUGUUUGAAAUUUUUUACCAUGGGCACUUACUGCUUUUGUAAACAAGGAAUUCUUUCAUGUUUAAAACAUGGUGGUGAGCAGUUGCUGAGCCGCGCAGGGCAGGACUCCUCCUCUCGCUCCAGCUGCUUGUUAGCAUCGAGUCUCCGGGUAAUUUUGACAGCGCCAAGCAAGCCCCAGAGCUGAGUGCCAACACGUCACUCUACAGAGUGCCCUGUGCUGGUCAUUAGAGCCCUGCUCCUGUUCUGUGGCUAUAAUCCUAGCACUUUGGGAGGCCGAGGCAGGUGGAUCACCUGAGAUCAAGAGUUCGAGACCAGCCUGGCCAACAUGGUAAAACCCUGUUUCUACUAAAAAUACAAAAAUUAGCUGGGCGUGGUGGUGGGCACCUGUAAUCCCAACUACUCGGGAGGCUGAGGCAGGAGAAUCACUUGAACCCAAGAGGCAGUGGUUGCAGUGAGCCGAGAUCAUACCAUCGCACUCCAGCCUGGGCAACAGAGCAAAAACUCCGUCUCAAAAAAAAAAAAAAAAAAAGACAAAACAGAACAAACAGAAGCAGCCCUUUCUGGGUAGCAAGGGCCGCGGUGGUGGCAGUGGCUGGUGGCUGGUGGCUGGCAGCUUGAUUUCCUACCUCAAGCUCCCUGAUGCCUGCUGGAAGGGUUCUCCAGACAGCCCGACUGCAGCUGGAGCCACAGGUACCAGGCCUGAAGACCAAGCAAUAAAUCAUUAGCAGAUUGGCCCACGGAUCACUUCCCUUUUGGGGCGCUGCCUGGCACUUCCCAAGAGGAAGAAAUUUAUCAGCACUUGGCUGGCUGCCCUGUGCUCGCACAGUCGCGGGCUCCCAGUAGGUCACACCGAGUGGCCCCUCCUCCUCAGACACAGGGCUGUGCCUGGGGAGGCCCAAGAAAGCCAAAGAAUAGGCCACGGGCUCAGAAGACAGGGUGAGAAACACUUAGUCAGCAUAAUCCCUGCCAAUCACACCAGGGCUUCCGGUAAUACCAAGAGGGGAGCGGGUGAGAAGGUGGAUUCUGAAUCUGACCACGUAACUCUGCACUGCCACGAAGGCCCCAGCUCAUGCCCCGCGCUCAGCAGAGAGUGGGCUUGGGCCUCAUCUUCCUGUAACCGGGGGCUGGGGACCACUUUGAUCUCACUGUUCCCCUUGCUGCUGUUCACACCAGUACGGCGCCUUCAAGAAGUUAUCCCAGGGCAAUUUUCCACCUUUGAAGUCCCCGGAAAACCCUGCCAAAAGCCGUUCUGGUGUGAGGAUGCUGCAGGGGCAGGCAGCCUGGUGCCGCGGCCUCCCGGGUGCCAGAACUGGAACAUCGAGACAUCAAAGGCGAAGGUGGCAGCAGGGCGAUGAGUAAGCUCCGCUGCAGGCUUGGCCUCGGCCCCAGAAGCCUUCUCCUCAUCUCCCAGUGGUGGCUGAGCAGGACUAGGGAGACGACCCAGAGAGCCUGGAGACCUGGCUUGGGGGAAGCCCUGUGGAUGCUUCUGGAGGCGGACACUUCCCUGCUGCUCUGUGCCUGGUAAAGGCACCGACCACUGCAGAGCAGAAGCAGAGUCCAAUCCUGGCUCCAAAGCGCCCCUGACUGCAAAGCUUUGGUACUGUUAUUACCACCGUGAAACAGGUGGGGAAACUGAAGCAUGAGGAGCUUGAGUAAUGUGUGUUAGAUCACGCAACCAGUAGUGGCAGAGCUGGAAUUCCGACCUGGGACUGCCUCCAAAGUUCUUGCGUAAGAAUACAGCUGCUACACUUGCCCUUCUUCAGCUGAGACCAAGGAGGGAAUUCUGAUUGAAAGCAAACCAGGGAGGAAAGAUGCACUAGCACUGACCUGUAACAGGUCAAUCUGUGCCAUGGCAUGGCGAGACGAAGUGGAGAACCCAUGUCUCAUUGGAAUCCCGGAUCAUCGUCUCCACGAAGGCUGUCUUCUGCAGCACUCCAGGGACUCACGGCUCUGGGCUUAUUGCUCAGUGUCAUGUGACAGAUGUUUUAGUGUUUAGUUGGAACCCUGGAUCUGCAGCAACCAUCUUGCUACCAACUUGAGGGUGAAGCCAGCCGUAAGAAUAGCAGGCCGGAAAGAUGGAAGAAACCUGGCUUUCCAAUGUCAUCAUUUGGUUGCUGAAUCAAUUGUACCUAAAGCUCACUCUAUCUGUUUUACCUUGAGUUAGGGUUGCCGUUGCUUGCAGCUAAACGCAUCUUCUUUUUUUUUUUUUUUUUUUUUUUUUUUGAGAAGGAGUCUUACUCUAUCACCCAGGUUGGAGUGCAGUGGCGCGAUCUCAACUCACUGCAACCUCCACCUCCCAGGUUCAAGUGAUUCUUGUGCCUCAGCCUCCCACGUAGCUAGGAUUACAGGCGUGAGCCACCACGCCCGGCUUAUUUUUGUAUUUUUGGUAGAGAAGGGGUUUCGCCAUGUUGCCCAGGCUGGUCUUUAACUUCUGGACCUUAGGUGAUCCACCCGCCUCAGCCUCCCAAAGUGCUGGAAUUACUGGCAAGAUCCACCACACCCAGUCUAAAUGCAUCUGAAUAUAACAUGACUCUCCUAGAGAAAAACCUGGAACCCAGAGCACCUGAAUAGAAACUCUUAAUUAUAUCAAUGAGGAAUAGUUAACUUAGCCAAGUUUCCAUUGAAUAUGAAGAACUGUAAAAUAAUGUCAGUUCUAGCCAAGAACUGAAAAGUAAUGUCAGUACUCUAUAAUGUGUAAUUCAUAGUUGCUACAUGUAAUCAGGCUUGGCCAAUUGUUUCCAGGAAGAUGGCACCCUCAUUUCUGAAUGAGGAUGACCAUUUUCCACUAAUCCAGAGGUAAAACAGUCAUUGUAACUGCACUGAAAUUUGCUGUAUCAAGUGAGACAUGAAGGUAAAUGUCAUUGGCCCAGAGUAAUUAGUCUUUUCCAGUGCUUAAAGGAAGGGAGAGAAACUAAUGCCUAUUGAGUGCCUUCAAAGCUUCUGCAAUGUGCUGGUACCCACAUGUUUCCAAUUAUUCCUCACAACACUAUGGAGAGGUUAUUUUGCCUGUUUUGCUGAUCAGGGAACUGAGACUCACAGAGUGACACCAACCCAUCAGUAUUUCAGGUUUCUGGGGAGGGUCCAGAGAGCAAGGGGGAAGCUGCUAAUUGCUUGUUGGUUCAAGAGAAAUGUUAUCUCAGUAGACUAACGUAUGGACUUUCUGAUGUCAGAAAAUGCAAACUAUGUAGUGUAACCUGUUUGCCAUUUUUUCUUUGUAUCCGCAAACUGACAGCAAAAUAUAUUGCACAAGUAUUAUAAAUCUGUUCAGUUCAAGUGCCAGAGAACAUUUACUCUGCUUCCUUCAUGAGGUAAUUCAAAACUUUGUUUUUAAUAUUUAUUGAGUGUCUGGGUAGGUAAACUGCUAUGCCGUCCUAUGGGGAAUUUCAGAUGUGUUGUCUGUGUGUGUGUGUGUGUGUAUGUGUGUGUGUGUGUGGUGUUUUCUGGUUUUGAUUGUUGACGUUUUCUUGAUUUUUUUUGACAGGAGCAUCUUUAGAUAUUUAUUUAUUUUAUAAUUCAUACAUACAUAUAGUAAAAAGUUCAGAUAGUUUUAAAAUAUAGUGAUGUGUAAAUCUCCCCUCACUUGUGAGCCCCAGGCAUUCAGCUCCCCUCCCUAGACGCAAUUAUUGUAGUCAGUUCAAAGCUUGUUUGUGCACAUACAAGUCUCUGUGUAUAUCCUCUACACACACCCAGAAGAGCAUACUAUACAUGCUCUAGACUGUGUUAUGUUUCUUUGAAUGGCUACGAUGUAAUUUAUUAAUCCAGUUCCCUAAUAAUAGGCAUUUAGGUACUUUUCAUGUUUUUCUCAAUGUGUAAUUGUACCAUUAAAAUUCUUGGGUUUUUUUUUGGUUUUUUGGUUUUUUAUUAAGAGUCUCGCUCUGUUGCCCAGGCUGGAGUGCAGUGGCGUGAUGUCAGCUCACUGCAACCUCCGCCUCCCAUGUUCAAACAAUUCUCGUGCCUCAGGCUUCCGAGUAGCUGGGAUUACAGUCGCCCACCACCAUGCCUGGUUAAUUUUUUUGUAUUUUUUAGUAGAGACAGGGUUUCACCAUGUUGGCCAGGCUGGUCUCAAACUCCUGACCUCGAGUGAUCCGCCUCUCUUGGCUUCCCAAAGUGUUGGGAUUACAGGCAUUAGCCACAGCGAAAAUCCUUGUAUUCAUGCCUUUGCCCAUGUUUGCAAGUAUAACUGGGAGAUAAAAUGCUAGAAUUGCAGGGUCCAAAAAAAAGCACAUUUUAAUUUUAACAACUAUAACCCAGUUGCCUUCCAAAGAGGCUGUACACAUGUUUCCCUGUCUCAAACAGUGGUGAGCAUGCCUGCUCCCCUACAAACUCACCAGCUCAGAGCAUUAUCAGGCUUCUCAUCUCUGCCAACCUGGUAAGUACAAAGGGCAUCUCUUGUAGUUUCGGUUGCAUUUUUCUCAUUAUGAGAUUGAGCAGCAGACAAUGUCUUUAAAAGACUUAUUUUGCUCUGGGUUUUAAUCUUAAAAUACUCUAAAUCCUCUUAGAAGUAGGUAGGGUCAGAUCUUCAAUCUGGAUGGAUUUACGUAAUGGGUCUAUGAAAGGGAUAGAAAGUCAAAGCAAGGGGGUGAGGCGGGGGAAUGAUGCGAAGUCAAAGCCCUCCCCCUCGGGGGCCCCUAGCCCAUCCCUGAUCCCUCACCCUUUGCAGGGCAUGUCCAGAGCUGCCACUGCCCUGGGCCUCCACCCCACAGCCCAGGACCACACCUUAACCUGGAAAGUCGUGGACCUCCUCAGGGGAGCUCAGGGAUCAGAUGGGCCGAUGGGUGUUACUGUGGCCAGGAGCACUGGGUCUUGAGUAUGUGGGUGGAACUUUCCCUCAUCCCCUGACCACGUCUAACCACAUGGCCUCUCCACUUUGAUAGUGGCGAGAAGAGUAGCCUCUUGCUUUUGCAUGUUUUCCUAAUCACAGCGUGCUUUCUUGUCUGCUAUUUCAUUUGACUUUUUUCAACCAGCCGCUGAGGUGGGGAUUAUUAGCACGCCCUUUGCAGAUGAGGAAACUGAAGCCCAGGGAGCUUUGGCAACCUGCCCAAGGUCACACAGCCAGUGAAGGAAAGGGCUGAAAUCAAACCAGGCCUGUCUGACUGCAAGGCAGGGUCUUACGGCUGCCUCCGGUGGGUAGGUCCGGGACCCAGCUGGUUUCCGUCCUGUGGCUCAGGUGCGAGGAGAGCCUCCCUGGGCCACCUGGGGAAGUCUGACUGACGUGCCAGAUCCUCACAGAACAAAGGUAAGGCCUCAGCCUUCCCCCUGGCCCAGGUCUUUCCAUGUCCAGUGCAUUCCUGAAUGCUCCCAGUACUCUGGAAAAUGGGGAUUCAUGCUGCCAUUUUAAUUGGAACCCAAUCUGUUCUGACUUCAAAUCUAGUGCUCCUUCUCCAUCCACCCACCCUCCCUGAACCAUGCCCAGGAGAUCGAGAGAUUUUCCUAAUAAACAAGUCAUGUGCUACAAUGCAUGUGCUACACAACCACUGCCCGCUUUGUCUCUCCCCCUAGGAGAGAAGGGGACUCCUGAGAGGCCCCAGCAGCGUUAUCUGGGCAGAGAAAGUGAGUUUGAAGACCUCACACUCCAUCUGGACUUUAUCAGCUCCUUUCCUGGGUAGGAUUACAGUAAACGAUUAUCUACAGAUCUGGAGCCAGCAAGGACUUUGAAGGCCCCAAUUGCCAAGGGGGUGGUGAAAUGGGGGAAGGGCUGGAGACGCAGGAGAUGAAAAAGCAGUGCAGGCAUCUUAUCUUCCUCCUGAAAUCAAACAGGCUGGGCCUGGGCAGGGUGGGAGAGGUACCCUGUCUGUGAGGCUGACAGUCUCUAGCCCUGGCUGGCCACAAAAGAUACAGAGAGAACCAGAUGAAGGCCCUUCACUGUCUUCUCCUGAUCCUCUCUCCCUCCUCCUGGUUUCUUUUAUUAAUUCAUUCAUUCACUUGCAUCUUUCAGCCUGUUAGUUACAAUAUCUGACACGCUCUGAGCUCUCCCGCCAAGCCAAGUGCUUAGCAUCCAUCCCCUCAUGUGGUCUUCACCAUGACCUUCUGGGAGAGGUGCCAGAAUUAGGCCCAUUUUACAGAUGAGGAAAAUGAAGCCCCAGAGGCUAAGUAAUAGGAUGAGCCUGGGAUCACACAGCUAGUAAAUGGUAGGGUCUGGAUUCUCUUAAACCUGCAUACAUUUAUUCUUCCAUUUCCCCCUGCCUGCCUGCUUUCCUCUCAUAAUUCAUUUAUGUAUUCAGUUUUUCAUAUUCCCAUUGCUUGUUCAUUUUGAAGUUCCUUCCCUUCUUGCUUAUGCAUUUCUUCUGUCCCUUCCUGUCUUCCUCCUGUCUCUUCCUUCCUUCCAUGACCACAUCCUGAGCCUACUGUGUGCCCUGUCACCCUGCCAUCAGGACAUGGGGCUCCUGACAGAUGACUGCUGGGGAGGGAUAUGUGAGACCACCUCCUCCAGGGUCGACCUCCUCAAAUGAGGCUUUUGGGCUGUGCCUCCCUAUGCCUGAUUUGUCCCAGUGUUUGCCAAAAAUUUUAGGCUUUGAUAAUCUUGUGAAGAUGUUUCAGCCAAGCAAGUCUUGAGACUCCAUUGGUGUGGGAGUAAAAGUGGCCUGGGGAAGCCACUUCUUGCAGUUUCCCCUAAGCAAGGCUCUUUCUGUCCUUGCUGUUCUGACAUCCACUCCCUCAGCAAACAUCAUUAAGGACCUAUCAUGGGCAGCCCCUGGGGCCCACUCCCAUCCUCUAGCUGUCUCGAUUUCAUACCUCCCUAGCUCUAGAAAAUUCACUCCUAGAAGGCAGGGAAUUGGCGUCAAGGAACGGGUUCACAGCCUUGGACUCCUUUAUUCAUUCAUCUUUUUUCCUAGCACCUAACACAGGGCCUGGCUUAGACUGAAGGCUAAUAAAUACAGGAUCAAAAGGCAGUGAACCAUCAUUCUCUGUCACUCUCCAGGAGCUGGCCCACUCACCGUGCUAGACAUUGUACUGGAUAUAGUAGUCCCGCAUCGUUGUAUCACUCUCAUUUCUAGCUGGAGAAGUACCCCUCCUUUUCUAGGUGCGGUUAUGGGGUCGCUAUCACCUGAAGUGCCCGCCACUCACCCUGUAGUCUUGGGUGGGUAUGUGAUCUCAGCUAAAACAGUCGAGGUCUCUCUCCCUGGGCUUGGAAUUGUAAACCAAGUGAUGCAGAGAAAGAAAAAACACAAGCCCUUGGAGCCCAUCACAUCCCAUCACCGAUGAGGCUGUCCAGCGGUUCUGGCCCUCAGAAGCCCCAGAGAACUCCAGUUUCUGUCCUUUUCCGAGUGUGGCUUUCUGUCCACUUUAUGGCUGCUCAACCUCCCUCCAGUAUGCCCCUUCUCCCCUUAGUCAGUGAAUGUCUGUUUCUGUGCUUGCAAAUGAUAAAUCCUAAAUGAUGCCCCAGGACAUGGUUUCCAAGGCCAGCUAUUGGAGCCUCACCAGAAAUGUUCAUUCUGCCUCAUCAGUGUCUUGGCUAUUGCCUUUUUGGAACUGCUCUGACCUCUCCUCUUUCCAUCCUGCAGCACCCCCUCUCUCAGCACCAGGGAGCUCCUCCAGGAGCACUUCCUCCCAUGUCUGUGUUCGCCGUUAAGACUGGACACACCAGGAUGAUCUUUCAACUUUGGGUCCAAAGGCCCUCAGUGGAUGUAAAAUAGGUACAUGAGGCCUUGAACUGAACAUUUUUUUCACUUCACCAUAACCUGGAUUUUCCCAGUUUAGGAGCAUCUGUUUGUCUUGAUAACGUUUGGAACAAAGUGAAAAAAACUGGACUUUGAAGAGAACUUCAGGUGAAUUACACAUUUAAGUCAGAUUUUCCAUGUCUUUGUCCCAUGUUCAGUAAUUCAAGCUGUUAGGAGCCCUCAACUUUGUACAUAUAUUUCCUUCCUAUCUCUGCCUCUUCAUACCUGGUACUUACCGUGGAAUUUGAAAUCUUUCUGUGGCUGUAAGCAAGAAAGGCGGGAAAAAUACAAGAAGUUAAAGGGGAUUGGAUGGUUCAGAUUUGGUUGAUGAAUGAGAUGGUUUAGAGGCAUGUCUUGUAAGAGAUAAUUUUCUAUGUGCCAGGUACUAUUUAUGAAUCCCACAUUAUCUUAUUAAUGCUCACAACAAGCCUUGGGGGUAAAUAGAUUAUCAUCGCCAUUUCACAGAUUAGGAAAGUGAGGUUUCAGCAGUCAAUUGCUCAAAGGUCUCCUGCUAGUGAAACAGUCGUCUAUCCAAACAGUCUGAAUGACCUGUGCACAUGGGAACGUGCCACGCAAGCCAAGGGCAGGAAGGAUGAGAAGAGGUGGGCAGAAAGCCAGCUGGGAUGAAUGAAGGACCUACUACGUGCAGGCCCAGGGUCAGACAUUUUAUUUUCUUGAUUGCACUUCAGCCUCCCAGCAGCCCUGUUUUACAGAUGAAGAAACUGAGGCUCAAAGAGCUGGAGAAAGUUGUUGCCCAGGGUCCUGUGGAGAGAAAACUCAAGCUCCGGCUGUUCCACUACUCUGGGACACCACCCCCAGUGGGAACCCCACUUUUACAAGGAUUCGAAGCUUUACUCCAUUCUUUGCCACACAUAAGGAGGCCGAGGAGGGAAGAUGGCAUGAGGCCAGGAAUUCAAGGCUGCAGUGAGAUAUGAUUGCACCACUACACUUCAGCCUGGGCGACAGGGUGACACCUCAUCUCUAAAAAAUAAAAUAAAAUAAUAAAAAAAUUUUGGAAAUUUUUAAAGCGUCUGCUCCACAGAGCCACAUUUUGCAUUGUGCAGUUUCGUUUUUCAGACCUUUCUCCUCUCUUCCAUCUGACUGCCCUGAGAUCCAGCACUUUUUGCUUCCACAUCUGAGGCUGUCGCUGGAAACAAGGUCUCCAUCCCAUUUGCAUGACAUGAGCACAGUCGGGAUUUGUAUUCAUUCUGUGGGUGUGUGUAUAUUCGUGCUCUCCACAAAAGAACCACUCAGCAUUGCUUUUUCAAGCCGAGCUUUAAAAGGCUUAUUUGCCAUGACAUCCAGCACUUGUAAUUUGAGGUCAUACCCCGAGGAAGAAUUGCUAAAUCUGUGUAAAAUGUUUCUGACUCCUUUUCUUACAGAUUCUGUCAGAUUAUCUCUUUAAGAAUUCUAAGCCCAUGUUGUUUGAGGUGGUUUUAGGCUAAUGUACAUUCCCCAAACAUUUCUUUGCUGUUCAAAAUAAAGCAAUUGAGAGGGUUCUUCGUAAAAACGAAGCACUUUGCAAGAGCUCAAGACAAAAGACAACUCCCUUUUUUCUAGGGGGUAAUUUUGAGGAUAGAAGAAAAACAGUGUUCUAUGUAAGCCUGUACAAUCACGAGAGCCAUUUGCUGAGGGCCAUGUGUGCGAGUGGUUCGUGUGCUCUCCACCUCCUCUUCUUCCUCCCAGGGGAUGAAAUGAGGCCCAACAAGUGCAAGACAUGGACCAUGUCAGCUCGUGACAGAACAGGGCUGGAACCCAAGUCUGCUAGGCUCAGCCCACUCCCUCCCUGUGCCGAGUUGACAUAUUCUACUUACAUUAAGCCAAGUGCUGGGCUCUGAUUAUACAAAAUCAGAUAAGCCAGGACCCUGUGUUCAAGGAGCUCCCAGGCCUGCUGGGGUGAGAGUGGAGCAGCAAGGAUGGAAGUGCACAGAUGCAAGGGUGGCCAGGCCUAUGGGGAUACAGGCAAGGGAGGCUGAGUGUU
rnacentral:lncRNA from 10 species